rnacentral:rRNA from 1 species
UAGGGAAUCUUCCACAAUGGACGGAAAGUCUGAUGGAGCAACGCCGCGUGAGUGAAGAAGGGUUUCGGCUCGUAAAACUCUGUUGUUAAAGAAGAACAUAUCUGAGAGUAACUGUUCAGGUAUUGACGGUAUUUAACCAGAAAACCACGGCUAACUACGUGCCAG